rnacentral:tRNA from 1 species
GGGCCCGUAGUUCAGCUGGUUAGAAUGUCUGCAUGGCAUGCAGGAGGUCAGGAGUUCGAAUCUCCUCGGGUCCACAA